rnacentral:sRNA from 1 species
GCAGCCAAUGCCAAAGUGAUAGAAAAACAGUUGCUCAGAAAAGGGAUGAGCAAGCGUAAGCUGAUGGAACAGGCCGAGGAAGAAGCCAAGAAAUUACGACCCAAAGGAACACUUAUUGAUAAAUAACAAAAUUCUUUGGUUUGUG